UACGUAGGGUGCGAGCGUUGUCCGGAAUUAUUGGGCGUAAAGAGCUCGUAGGCGGUCUGUCGCGUCGGUCGUGAAAACUUGGGGCUUAACCCUGAGCUUGCGGUCGAUACGGGCAUGACUGGAGUUCGGUAGGGGAGACUGGAAUUCCUGGUGUAGCGGUGAAAUGCGCAGAUAUCAGGAGGAACACCGGUGGCGAAGGCGGAUCUCUGGGCCUGUCCUGACGCUGAGGCGCGAAAGCUAGGGGAGCGAACAGG
rnacentral:rRNA from 1 species